GCUGUACAACUAAUUAAUCCAUACAACAACUAACCAAACCAUCAGUAUCUUUACAUGUAGCAGUCAAUAGACAUCUCCUUAUUAAAGUUCUUUCAUAAUGUAAGAUUCUAAAUUCAAAUACAUUAUAUAUUAUUUUUAAGUUA